GGUUAUGGCUCAGCGGUAAAGCGCUCUGCUCGCAACUGCAAGGCCCUGGGUUCGAUCCUCAGCACCA
rnacentral:tRNA from 1 species